UAGUUUUAUUAGUCACAGAUUUUUGCUAGCAUGAGCGGCGGGUUCGGCGGCCGCGGUUGGCUGGCGCUGCCGUGCUGUCUAGUGAGCUCCUCUGACCGGCGCCAUGGGAGCAGCUGCGCCGGUGGCUCUCGUGCACAGCGCGUGCAUCUGUAACCUUCUAAAGUCCUCCUUCGCGAACUGCAUCGCAUCGCCGGCCGGAGCGCCGGCCAUCUGGCCGUUCCCCUUUGCGGUGUGGUACGCCGUCUCCGCCGCAGCUGCAAUCUCCUCCGGCGCCAGAGCUGUUAAGCGGCGUUUCCUCAUCCAGCAGCAGCGACGACGGCUCCUAUCCAUCUACCAAAGAAAGGAGCAUUAUCUUAUCCAGCGCCAGCAUUUGUACGAACAGGUGCUUAUCGUCCCAUUCCUUACCAUUUCCUCAAUCUAUUAAAUAAAUUUGAGUAGCGUAUGUCUGCAUCCUGCUGUGCAGUGUACUUCAGAGACGAUGGUGGAGGAGCCAUCAAGGAGAUUGCUGGGCAGAUGCAGCUACGAAAUUACUUGUUUCAGUAUUUUGUUUAGCGAUUACAUUGUCCAAUUUUCUAUUAUUUGUGAGACCGGAUAUGAAUUGCUAGGCUAUCUAAGAAAUACAUGUUAUAGUAAUUGAGAAAAUGAUCUUUGUUCCUUAAUGGUUCUGUAACUUUAGAACCACCUCCCUGAUGCAUAUACAUAUAUAACUGAUAUUGAUUUUGUGAAAUCAGUUGUGAGCCCUUACCCCCAAUAUUUUUGUUUGCCUGUAAAUGCAGAGAGAAGUACCUUGCGACAAAUAAAAUAUUUCAGAGACAACUAUUGAAAACCAUUUAAAAAAGAUAAGGCUGCUAUGUCUUCAACACAUUAUAUUUAGUCAUAUAAGAAUGGUUGUACCUGUUCUAAUUCUAGUUAUUAAAAAACAAAUAUAUAUAAUAUAUCCUUGAAAACAAUGUUUUUUGCAAUCUUGUCGGAUCGACGCUCUUCAUCUGAUAUGAGUAUCCGCAAUCCUUUCUGCUGGUAACCCUUGACAUUGCAACAUAGAGCUGUGUGAACACUUGCCUUUCUAAGUAGAGUCCAACCUUUUUGAGAGAUUGCCCCUGACUUUUGUUUAUAGUCAUAGCAAAGCACACUGAUAUUGGGUAUUGUCUCCUUUUCAGAAUGAAAGGCCAUUCUGAAUCACUUGGUGACAUAUAACCGCUUGUUGGUUGUGCAUACUAAAUCCUGCCUAUGGUUUUUUUCCCACCACAUCUUUUCCUCCAUUCUUUCUAUUUUGUAUGCCAAAUCUAUUUGGUUGGAAACUGUGCAUACGUCAAACUGCGAGCUUCGUCAUGCAAUUGGUUGACUGUCAUCCUUCCGUGAACAUUGUCUUUUCUAUGUUAGGGUGAGAUACAAUUUUAUCUAAAUCCACCGAGUCCGGGAAUACCAUAACAUGUUCAUUCUCUAGGUGAAAUUGUAACCUUUCAACCGCAGGCUCUCUAUACUGAAGAGGAAACUGAAAUAUGUGCCAUGAGGCUUCACAUCAGGAUAUGUACCAAGCAUCAAGACAUCAUCCCAAGCACACUAUACGAAGUACGGACAGGACACACGAUGUGAUCGGCUCUCCGGCGCCGGCGCAGCACGUGAACUCAAACCGAGUUUGGGGUGUGAAUCUUGCAUGCUGCCAAUCCAUUAUAGUUCCUGGAAUCUGCCGUGACCUAGGUCCGUUGCUGGCUGCUUGCCUGGAUAUGUGCCUCCCAGCCUGCAGUCAACGAUGUCAUGUCUAAAAGAUGGCACACGUAGAUGGAAAGAAAGAUGAACACUGGCGCUAGGGCUCAGCUCAAAAAAACGCCAAUGGGAAAGAAGAGUUUGGUAGUAUAACAGGAGAAUAAAGGCUACAUGUUACUUU